CAGUCCAAAAAAACAAAACUUGUCUGGAUGACAGCCAACGGACAAAACUUGUCGGGAUGACAGUCCAAUGACGAAACUUGUCUGGAUGACAGCCAACGGACAAAACUUGUCGGGAUGACAGUCCAAUGACAAAACUUGUCGGGAUGAUAGUCCAAUGACAAACCUUGUCGGGAUGAUAGUCCAAUGACAAAACUUUUCGGGAUGAAGCGCUCUGAAACGAUGCUAGCCUUUAGUACUUUAUUG
rnacentral:sRNA from 1 species